ACGAACGUGAAGUUGAAAAGCAUUAUAAAGCAUUCCUUUAAUUUAUUGUUUCAUAUAAUUCAAAUUUCCAUAUAGUAACAGUUUGAUGUGGACUAAUUCGAAAUGAUCAUCUAUUCCUAAAGCUUUUAUGAGAAAAGAAUGUUGUUGAAAGGUUUCUUGAGAUAUAAAAAACCGUACCGUUCGUUCUCCGCCCUUCUUUUACUCUUACCAGCAGCGAAGAAAGAUUGUGCGCGUUUAACUUGCAACUAUUGUUAAAUUUAUUGUAAUUUAGUUAAUAAUAAAUGAAUUAGUUAAGUGAAGAUCAAGUGUUUAUGAUCUAAUACGUGGUGGAUAGAACAUCAAUCCUCAACAGCAGCUUCUAGAGACGGGAAAUAAAUCCAUUUUGUGGAAGUGAGGUUAAGAGACCCUUCCGGACAGCUUCAGAAGGAUAGUUGCAGCGGGUUGAUAGCUCAUUCAGAACUGUCUACAUAAUCUCUUCACACCUAAAAGGACACAUCAAAACAUAAGGGGGAAAAUUUUUGAUCCUCUCUCGCCAGAUUUAUGAUUUUCCCACAUUUUCCCUUUCAUAGGUAAGCCAAGAAGCUUCCAAACCGUUUUCCUGAGCGGCUUAUAUAAUUUUCCUUCAUUAAUAUAUUUUAAGGUUUGUACAACAUCGUACAUUUUUGAUCCUCUCUCGCCAGAUUUAUGAUUUUCCCACAUUUUCCCUUUCAUAGGUGAGACAAGGACAGAGAUAGAAGUCAAGGGGCAUUAAAAUAAUAUUUCCGCAUAUUCAUUUUCUUUAAGGUUUGUACAACAUCGUAC